AUCCAUUUAACGAGUUCCAAAUAGAAGGAAACGCACGUCAUGGAU
rnacentral:hammerhead_ribozyme from 1 species